GUGGGGAAUAUUGGACAAUGGGGGGAACCCUGAUCCAGCCAUGCCGCGUGUGUGAAGAAGGCCUUUUGGUUGUAAAGCACUUUAAGCGAGGAGGAGGCUACCGAGAUUAAUACUCUUGGAUAGUGGACGUUACUCGCAGAAUAAGCACCGGCUAACUCUGUGCCAGCAGCCGCGGUAAUACAGAGGGUGCAAGCGUUAAUCGGAUUUACUGGGCGUAAAGCGCGCGUAGGUGGCCAAUUAAGUCAAAUGUGAGAUCCCCGAGCUUAACUUGGGAAUUGCAUUCGAUACUGGUUGGCUAGAGUAUGGGAGAGGAUGGUAGAAUUCCAGGUGUAGCGGUGAAAUGCGUAGAGAUCUGGAGGAAUACCGAUGGCGAAGGCAGCCAUCUGGCCUAAUACUGACACUGAGGUGCGAAAGCAUGGGGAGCAAACAGGAUUAGAUACCCUGGUAGUCC
rnacentral:rRNA from 1 species